rnacentral:rRNA from 1 species
GAUUGAACGCUGGCGGCAUGCCUUACACAUGCAAGUCGAACGGCAGCACGGAGCUUGCUCUGGUGGCGAGUGGCGAACGGGUGGGUAAUAUAUCGGAACGUACCCUAGAGUGGGGGAUAACGUAGCGAAAGUUACGCUAAUACCGCAUACGAUCUAAGGAUGAAAGUGGGGGAUCGCAAGACCUCAUGCUCGUGGAGCGGCCGAUAUCUGAUUAGCUAGUUGGUAGGGUAAAAGCCUACCAAGGCAUCGAUCAGUAGCUGGUCUGAGAGGACGACCAGCCACACUGGAACUGAGACACGGUCCACACUCCUACGGGAGGCAGCAGUGGGGAAUUUUGGACAAUGGGCGAAAGCCUGAUCCAGCAAUGCCGCGUGAGUGAAGAAGGCCUUCGGGUUGUAAAGCUCUUUCGUCAGGGAAGAAACGGUGAGAGCUAAUAUCUUUUGCUAAUGACGGUACCUGAAGAAUAAGCACCGGCUAACUACGUGCCAGCAGCCGCGGUAAUACGUAGGGUGCAAGCGUUAAUCGGAAUUACUGGGCGUAAAGCGUGCGCAGGCGGUUUUGUAAGUCUGAUGUGAAAUCCCCGGGCUCAACCUGGGAAUUGCAUUGGAGACUGCAAGGCUAGAAUCUGGCAGAGGGGGGUAGAAUUCCACGUGUAGCAGUGAAAUGCGUAGAUAUGUGG